AUACGUAGGGGGCAAGCGUUAUCCGGAUUUACUGGGUGUAAAGGGAGCGUAGACGGAAGGCCAAGUCUGAUGUGAAAGCCCGCGGCUCAACUGCGGGACUGCAUUGGAAACUGGUCAUCUGGAGUGCAGGAGGGGUAAGCGGAAUUCCUAGUGUAGCGGUGAAAUGCGUAGAUAUUAGGAGGAACACCGGUGGCGAAGGCGGCUUACUGGACUGAAACUGACGUUGAGGCUCGAAAGCGUGGGGAGCAAACAGGAUUAGAUCCCCUGGUAGUCCACGCCGUAAACGACGAAUACUAGGUGUCGGGUUUCUAUAGAGAUUCGGUGCCGCAGCAAACGCAAUAAGUAUUCCACCUGGGGAGUACGUUCGCAAGAAUGAAACUCAAAGGAAUUGACGGGG
rnacentral:rRNA from 1 species